UUUCAUAAAAAGGAGAGAGAAAAGUAGAUAAAAAGAGGAAAAAAACAAUAACCCACCCACUAGUUUCGCCCCCUUUUCAGUGCUUUAACCCAAAAACUCUUCUUCUUUACUUUUUUUUCUUCUGCAAUUCUACAACUUCUUCUUCACAAUUUUCAUACCAUAAAACCAACGUAAACUUCUCUGUACCUUUAAAAAUAAAACUUCAUUUUUUUGGUGUUAGUUUUCAAUUUUUUCUCCUAUGGAGUUGAUUGAAGCAAGAGCAUUGAAAUCCAGUUUUCUCUCAGAUAUGGCUAUGAAAAAUACCCAACAAGUUUUUCUUGAUGAUAUAUGGUGUGUAACAGGGAUUAAUAAUGGAGCGACUGAGGAUUUUUCAGUUGAUGAUCUUUUGGAUUUUUCUGACAAAGAUUUCAAAGACCCAGAACUACAUGAAGAUGAUGAGAAAACCUUUUUUUCUGGGUCUUCUCAGAACAGAAAUUCACAGGAUUCUACUUUUUCCGGCAUGGAAAGCUUUGGUUCUCUCGCCGGCGAACUCCCUAUUCCGGUUGAUGAAAUGGAGAAUCUUGAAUGGUUAUCCCAAUUUGUUGAUGAUACUCCGUCGGAAUUUUCGUUGUUGUGUCCAGCCGAAAGUUUCAAGGACAAAACCGGUGAUUUUACAGAGACCCGGUCUGAACCGGUGGUUAGACCGGUUGUUAAGAAAAUGAGAGUUCCAUGUUUCCCUUUACCGUUUCCAGUGAAACCGAGAAGCAAACGGUCCAGACCGGCUGGAAGAACAUGGUCUUUUCCGUCGUCGACAGUUUCAGGAGACUCUUCUUCUCCCACCUCUUCGUCGUACGGUUCUUCACCGUUCCCUUCGGGUUUUUUUCACGAACCCGGUUUAUGACGGUGACUUGUUUUGUAGCGUAGAAAAGCCACCGUUGAAGAAGCCAAAAAAGAAUCCAUCAGCAGAGACCGGUUCAGGCCGUCGGUGUACCCAUUGUCAGGUUCAAAAAACACCCCAGUGGCGAGCCGGUCCAUUGGGUCCAAAAACUUUGUGCAACGCUUGUGGUGUUAGAUACAAAUCCGGUCGGCUUUUUCCUGAGUAUAGACCUGCUUGUAGUCCAACUUUUUCUCUAGAAGUUCACUCAAAUAGCCACCGGAAAGUUUUGGAGAUGCGGCGGAAGAAGGAAACCGGUGAGGUUAUUGACUCCGGUUUUGCUUCUAUGAUUUCAACUUGUUGAAAUGAAAAAACCCGGUUCAGUUAAAAACGGUCUAGGGUCUAGCUCGGUUGCGGUUUAAAUGUGAAAAUUUUGGUAAAUUGUGGGUAGUAGGAAGGGUAGACGUAGAAAUGUAACGUAUUUUAGGAAGGUUAUUGUAAUUUUUACUUUUAGA